GUUUAACGGCCGCGGUAUUUUGACCGUGCAAAGGUAGCGCAAUCACUUGUCUUUUAAAUAAAGACCUGUAUGAAUGGCAUAACGAGGGCUAAACUGUCUCCUUACUCCAGUUAAUGAAAUUGAUCUCCCCGUGCAGAAGCGGGGAUUAACCCAUAAGACGAGAAGACCCUGUGGAGCUUUAGAUGAUAGAUGAAUUUAUUAAAAAAUUAAUACCACAUAAAAGGUAAUUAAAACGAUGACCUCAUCUUAAAUCUUUAGUUGGGGCGACCGCGGAGUAAAACAAAACCUCCGUGAGGAUUGAGAUGAAAACCUUAUACCCAAGAAUGUCAUUUCUAAGUACCAAAAUAUUUGACCAGUUGAUCCGGCAACAGCCGAUUAACGAACCUAGUUACCCCAGGGAUAACAGCGCAAUCCUCUUUGAGAGUCCCUAUCGACAAGAGGGUUUACGACCUCGAUGUUGGAUCAGGACAUCCUAAUGGUGUAG
rnacentral:rRNA from 1 species